GGAGUUCUUUUCCAACCUUAAUGAUUCUAUGAUUCUCUUUAUUACUCACAUAAACUGCAGACCUUAACAGAUGAGACUUCUGAAACUCAGCUUUGCAGCGGUGGGAGAGCUGACUAUUUAUUCUGGUGAACAGUGGAUUUCCACACUGCAAUAUUCACCUCUCUUGAAAGAAGAUUUUAAAUGGAUUUAAAUUACAGAAGCAGAGACUCGAGACAUUCAACCUUAACUCAGCCCUGUAGUGACACCAGGAGGAAAAAGGAAAUCUUUAUCUUCUAGAAUCACUUUUCUGAGUGGUUCCCGUUGCAUUGCUAUCCCCUCCAUGCUCUGGUAGGCACGGUUGAGAUAAGGUAACUACUUGCUACCUCCCACCUGAAAGAAGACCCUGACUGCUUCCACUGCUCCUUCUCAAGUGCAGUUUUGUGCUGGUAUGGAGUAGAACCAGCUGGUCAUGAAAUUGGCUGUUUUUUCACCUGGAAGGUGUUUCUCUUCUGGAUGAGAAUAAUGUAUCUUGCAUGGUCCCUUCUCUUCAGUCUGUCCUGUGUUGCUUUAUUUACUCCUGGUGUGCACUGGAAUGGAACAGGCAGAAGUAUAUGGUCAACUGGUCUCAGACUGGCAAUUCCACUGUGUUAUAAUUUGGCCAGGUCAAGGGAAGAUCAAACCCAUUAUUUAAACCAUCUUUAGUGGUUUUAAGCCUAACUCUGCAACCUUUUUGUUCUGAAAGGGACUAGGUAUGUUCAUAUUGUCAGAUACAGCAAAAAAGCAGAUUGAGAUUGUUUCCUUGCCUUUUCCAACAAUUGUGAUCCUUGGGAUGAGAAUCCAUGUCAGUGUGACUGCAAGUGUAACUGCUAAGUAACUGCUGUGCUUGUUUAUUAGAUAUGGACACAGCACAACUGAGUUUAUAUUCAGGAGCUUGAUUUCAGUGCUGCAGAUAUGGCCCUUAUUGUGCUGGGUCAUGCUAUUCAGAGACUGUUUGCUGCAGAAGUGAACUUUGACCAAUGUACUUGUCUUUCUUUGGAGAGAGGCUUGGACUAAGCUGUACAGGAAGUGUCAUUGUGUUGGGUUUAAAAAAUCGUGUUGACUUGGAACGUUUUCUCAUGAUGUAACGGUACAUUUGUAUUAGCAAAGACAUCUUCAUGGAGAUAAGGAUUUUCAAGUGUAGUUUAUAUUACUAGCAAUGCUUAUCAAAAUACAUAAUUUUAGGAGUUUAAAAACUAAUAAAUUAUUUAUCUCAGUUUUUCCAUAAUUUACAUUCAGGCCUGAAUGUUGUCAAGGCAUGUUUUUGAAAACUUGAUUUCAAGUUAAAAAA